GCUCCGGUGGCUUAGUGGUUAGCGCAUCCGCAUCGGAUGCGGGUGGUCGCGGGUUCGAACCCCCGCCGAGAUA